rnacentral:rRNA from 1 species
UACAGAGGGUGCAAGCGUUAAUCGGAAUUACUGGGCGUAAAGCGUGCGUAGACGGUUAUGUAAGUCAGAUGUGAAAGCCCCGGGCUCAACCUGGGAACUGCAUUUGUGACUGCAUCGCUGGAGUGCGGCAGAGGGGGAUGGAAUUCCGCGUGUAGCAGUGAAAUGCGUAGAUAUGCGGAGGAACACCGAUGGCGAAGGCAAUCCCCUGGGCCUGCACUGACGCUCAUGCACGAAAGCGUGGGAGCAAACAGG